rnacentral:tRNA from 2 species
UCCUCGAUAGCUCAGCGGUAGAGCAUUCGGCUGUUAACCGAAGGGUCGUUGGUUCGAACCCAACUCGGGGAGCUA